rnacentral:snoRNA from 1 species
UGAUGAUGAUGAGGAUAAUUUCUCAGCAUGCCUUUAAAUCUCUCCUAAGCUUGGUAGAAAUUUUCUCCAUCUUUCUAUUUGAAACUCAAGAUCUCAAUCCUCAAAUA